rnacentral:rRNA from 1 species
UGGGGAAUUUUGGACAAUGGGCGAAAGCCUGAUCCAGCAAUGCCGCGUGUGUGAAGAAGGCCUUCGGGUUGUAAAGCACUUUUGUCCGGAAAGAAAUCCUUGGCUCUAAUACAGUCGGGGGAUGACGGUACCGGAAGAAUAAGCACCGGCUAACUACGUGCCAGCAGCCGCGGUAAUACGUAGGGUGCAAGCGUUAAUCGGAAUUACUGGGCGUAAAGCGUGCGCAGGCGGUUUGCUAAGACCGAUGUGAAAUCCCCGGGCUCAACCUGGGAACUGCAUUGGUGACUGGCAGGCUAGAGUAUGGCAGAGGGGGGUAGAAUUCCACGUGUAGCAGUGAAAUGCGUAGAGAUGUGGAGGAAUACCGAUGGCGAAGGCAGCCCCCUGGGCCAAUACUGACGCUCAUGCACGAAAAGCGUGGGGAGCAAAACAGGAUUAGAUACCCUGGUAGUCCACGCCCUAAAACGAUGUCAACUAGUUGUUGGGGAUUCAUUUCCUUAGUAACGUAGCUAACGCGUGAAGUUGACCGCCUGGGGGAGUACGGUCGCAAGAUUAAAACUCAAAUGAAUUGACGGGGUCAUAGCUGUUUCCU